ACGGGUGAGUAACGCGUGGGAAUCUACCCAUCUCUACGGAAUAACGCAUGGAAACGUGUGCUAAUACCGUAUACGUCCUUCGGGAGAAAGAUUUAUCGGAGAUGGAUGAGCCCGCGUUGGAUUAACUAGUUGGUGGGGUAAAGGCCUACCAAGGCGACGAUCCAUAGCUGGUCUGAGAGGAUGAUCAGCCACACUGGGACUGAGACACGGCCCAGACUCCUACGGGAGGCAGCAGUGGGGAAUAUUGGACAAUGGGCGCAAGCCUGAUCCAGCCAUGCCGCGUGAGUGAUGAAGGCCCUAGGGUUGUAAAGCUCUUUCACCGGUGAAGAUAAUGACGGUAACCGGAGAAGAAGCCCCGGCUAACUUCGUGCCAGCAGCCGCGGUAAUACGAAGGGGGCUAGCGUUGUUCGGAUUUACUGGGCGUAAAGCGCACGUAGGCGGACUAUUAAGUCAGGGGUGAAAUCCCGGGGCUCAACCCCGGAACUGCCUUUGAUACUGGUAGUCUUGAGUUCGAGAGAGGUGAGUGGAAUUCCGAGUGUAGAGGUG
rnacentral:rRNA from 1 species